rnacentral:lncRNA from 1 species
ACAAAUUUCCGCUCAUAUUCUGUCACUGUCAUCCGACCCUGUUUCAAUUCAAGAAAUUCCUUACGUUUCUGAUCAAUGAAUCUCUGGCUAAUAUAUUUCUUACGGAAUUCAGUCUGAAAGAAUUCCCAGGUCACUCGCUCUUUCGGAACCACCGAUACUAGUGUAUUCCACCAGUGAUAUGCAGUGUCCCGUAGCAAGGAUAUGGCACAUUUC